rnacentral:rRNA from 1 species
AGUGAACGCUGGCGGUAGGCCUAACACAUGCAAGUCGAACGGCAGCACAGUAAGAGCUUGCUCUUACGGGUGGCGAGUGGCGGACGGGUGAGGAAUACAUCGGAAUCUACUUUUUCGUGGGGGAUAACGUAGGGAAACUUACGCUAAUACCGCAUACGACCUACGGGUGAAAGCAGGGGAUCUUCGGACCUUGCGCGAUUGAAUGAGCCGAUGUCGGAUUAGCUAGUUGGCGGGGUAAAGGCCCACCAAGGCGACGAUCCGUAGCUGGUCUGAGAGGAUGAUCAGCCACACUGGAACCGAGACACGGUCCAGACUCCUACGGGAGGCAGCAGUGGGGAAUAUUGGACAAUGGGCGCAAGCCUGAUCCAGCCAUACCGCGUGGGUGAAGAAGGCCUUCGGGUUGUAAAGCCCUUUUGUUGGGAAAGAAAAGCAGCAGGUUAAUACCCCGCUGUUCUGACGGUACCCAAAGAAUAAGCACCGGCUAACUUCAUG